UGCAGAACCAUUAAGUCAGACUACAGCUGGGAAUUAGCCGUAGAGGCUAAAGCUGCUCCUUUUACUGUACAGUUAAUUAAAGGGGACUGUCCACGACAUGUUA